UACGGGGGGGGCAAGCGUUGUUCGGAAUUACUGGGCGUAAAGGGCUCGUAGGUGGCCAACUAAGUCAGACGUGAAAUCCCUCGGCUUAACCGGGGAACUGCGUCUGAUACUGGAUGGCUUGAGUGUGGGAGAGGGAUGCGGAAUUCCAGGUGUAGCGGUGAAAUGCGUAGAUAUCUGGAGGAACACCGGUGGCGAAGGCGGCAUCCUGGACCAUUACUGACACUGAAAAGCGAAAGCAAGGGGAGCAAACGGG
rnacentral:rRNA from 1 species